rnacentral:rRNA from 1 species
UACGUAGGGUGCAAGCGUUAAUCGGAAUUACUGGGCGUAAAGCGUGCGCAGGCGGUUAUGUAAGACAGAUGUGAAAUCCCCGGGCUCAACCUGGGAAUUGCAUUUGUGACUGUACGGCUAGAGUGUGUCAGGAGGGGGGUAGAAUUCCACGUGUAGCAGUGAAAUGCGUAGAGAUGUGGAGGAAUACCGAUGGCGAAGGCAGCCCCCCUGGGAUAACACUGACGCUCAUGCACGAAAGCGUGGGGAGCAAACAGG